UACGUAGGGGGCUAGCGUUGUCCGGAAUCAUUGGGCGUAAAGAGCGUGUAGGCGGCCAGAUAAGUCCGCUGUGAAAUCUCGAGGCUCAACUUCGAGCUGUCGGUGGAAACUGUCUGGCUAGAGUCCGGAAGAGGAGAAUGGAAUUCCUGGUGUAGCGGUGAAAUGCGCAGAUAUCAGGAAGAACACCAAUGGCGAAGGCAGCUCUCUGGGACGGUACUGACGCUGAGACGCGAAAGCGUGGGGAGCGAACAGG
rnacentral:rRNA from 1 species